UACGUAGGUGGCAAGCGUUGUCCGGAAUUAUUGGGCGUAAAGAGCAUGUAGGCGGAGAUUUAAGUCUGUUGUGAAAAUGCGGGGCUCAACCCCGUAUUGCGAUGGAAACUGAAUUUCUUGAGUGCAGGAGAGGAAAGGGGAAUUCCCAGUGUAGCGGUGAAAUGCGUAGAUAUUGGGAGGAACACCAGUGGCGAAGGCGCCUUUCUGGACUGUGUCUGACGCUGAGAUGCGAAAGCCAGGGUAGCGAACGGGAUUAGAAACCCGGUAGUCC
rnacentral:rRNA from 1 species